rnacentral:rRNA from 1 species
AUUGAACGCUGGCGGCAGGCCUAACACAUGCAAGUCGAACGAGGGGCGGACGGGUGAGUAAUGUCUGGGAAACUGCCUGAUGGAGGGGGAUAACUACUAGAAACGGGAGAUAAUACCGAAUAACAUGAAAUGUGCACAGAUGUGAGUAGCUUGUUGGUGGGGUAACGGCUCACCAAGGCGACGAUCCAUAGCUGGUCUGAGAGGAUGACCAGCCACACUGGAACUGAGACACUGUCUAGACUCCUACGUGAGGCAGCAGUGGGGAAUAUUGCACAAUGGGCGCAAGCCUGAUGCAGCCAUGCCGCGUGUAUGAAGAAGGCCUUCGGGGUGUAAAGUACUUUCAGCGGGGGGGCGUUACCCGCAGAAGAAGCACCGGCUAACUCCGUGCCAGCCGCCGCGGUAAUAC